CUCCUAACCUUAUUUGCAUAAAUCGGAACUUUUCGGAGAUAAACGUCAUAAAAUAUGAACAAAAUCCGUAAACGUCCGAACAGCUUUCAUUGCGAGAACUCUCGAGAAUUAGAAGAGACCAACACGCGAGUGGUGAAAAUCGAGAGAAAUAUUCAACUUGAAAAAAGAGGUAAAACUUUAUGUUUUCUCGAUUUACAAGGUUUUUAAAUUGCAUAAAGUUGAAAAACAAACGUUUCUUUACAUGAAAAGUGAAAGUAUGUAUGAAGUUUCUCAUUCUGCCACGUGCUAUUGUACAUGAAAGUGUCAAAACAGCACCUCUCGAUUUUGUAAACAUUUUUCCACGUGCAAGGGAGUAGUUGUGUCGGUAAAGAUGAACAUACAUACACUGGUUUAGGAAACAAAAGCACUCGUUUAAGUACAUGUUGAACAGCCUUCUCCAUAAAGCGGAUAUUCUGAAGACAGCGAUGACGUGAAAGUUCAAGAUUUGCCUAUU